rnacentral:rRNA from 1 species
CAGUAGCCGCGGGAAUACGGAGGGUGCAAGCGUUAAUCGGAAUUACUGGGCGUAAAGCGUGCGUGGCGGUUCGUUAAGUCUGUUGUGAAAGCCCCGGGCUCAACCUGGGAAUGGCAAUGGAUACUGGCGAGCUGGAGUGUGUCAGAGGAUGGUGGAAUUCCCGGUGUAGCGGUGAAAUGCGUAGAUAUAUGGAGGAACACCGGUGGCAAAAGCGGCUCUCUGGCUUGUAACUGACGCUGAGGCUCGAAAGCGUGGGGAGCAAACAGGAUUAGAUACCCCCGUAGUCCCUGUCUCUUAUACA